rnacentral:rRNA from 1 species
AUGAACGCUAGCUACAGGCUUAACACAUGCAAGUCGAGGGGCAGCGCGGCGGAAGCUUGCUUCCGCUGGCGGCGACCGGCGCACGGGUGCGUAACGCGUAUCCAACUUGCCCUUGUCCCGGGGAUAGCCUCGCGAAAGCGAGAAUAAUACCCGGUGUAGCCACGGUUCCGCAUGGAAUUGUGGCGAUAGGUCCGCCGGACAAGGAUAGGGAUGCGUCCCAUUAGGCAGUAGGCGGGGUAACGGCCCACCUAACCGACGAUGGGUAGGGGUUCUGAGAGGAAGGUCCCCCACAUUGGAACUGAGACACGGUCCAAACUCCUACGGGAGGCAGCAGUGAGGAAUAUUGGUCAAUGGGCGCGAGCCUGAACCAGCCAAGUAGCGUGCAGGAAGACGGCCCUAUGGGUUGUAAACUGCUUUUGCAGGAGGAUAAUAUGUCCCACGUGUGGGAUAUUGCAGGUAUCCUGCGAAUAAGGACCGGCUAAUUCCGUGCCAGCAGCCGCGGUAAUACGGAAGGUCCGGGCGUUAUCCGGAUUUAUUGGGUUUAAAGGGAGCGUAGGCGGGAGAUCAAGUCAGUUGUGAAAAGCAGCCGCUCAACGGUUGUCGUGCAGUUGAUACUGGUUUUCUUGAGUGCGCGCGAGGAUGGUGGAAUUUGUGGUGUAGCGGUGAAAUGCUUAGAUAUCACAAAGAACUCCGAUUGCGAAGGCAGCUGUCCGGAGCGCAACUGACGCUGAGGCUCGAAGGUGCGGGUAUCAAACAGGAUUAGAUACCCUGGUAGUCCGCACGGUAAACGAUGGAUGCUAGUGGUCGGCGACAGACUGUCGGUCACCGAGCGAAAGCGUUAAGCAUCCCACCUGGGGAGUACGCCGGCAACGGUGAAACUCAAAGGAAUUGACGGGGGCCCGCACAAGCGGAGGAACAUGUGGUUUAAUUCGAUGAUACGCGAGGAACCUUACCCGGGCUUGAAUUGCAGCUGCAUGGAGCAGAGAUGUUCCUUCCCUUCGGGGCUGCUGUGAAGGUGCUGCAUGGUUGUCGUCAGCUCGUGCCGUGAGGUGUCGGCUUAAGUGCCAUAACGAGCGCAACCCUUUUCCCCGGUUGCCAUCAGGUAAUGCUGGGCACUCCGAGGAUACUGCCGCCGCAAGGCGUGAGGAAGGUGGGGAUGACGUCAAAUCAGCACGGCCCUUACG